ACUCUAAUGACAAGCUGGAAUGUAGUUGAGGUUAGUAAAAGCACUAUACUUGUUACAAACCUUGCCACGUUCCGACUUGUCAAAAGAGU
ensembl:miRNA mir-796 ncRNA